rnacentral:rRNA from 1 species
GACGAACGCUGGCGGCGCGCUUAACACAUGCAAGUCGAGCGAAGCGGCGGACGGGUGAGUAACACGUGAGUAACCUGCCUUAGACAUUGGGAUAGCCUCGGGAAACCGGGAUUAAUACCAACUGGUCUAAGAUUGACUCGCGUCCCAUUAGCUAGUUGGUGGGUAACGGCCCACCAAGGCGACGACGGGUAGCCGGCCUGAGAGGGCGACCGGCCACAUUGGGACUCAGAAGCGGACCAAACUCUACGGGAGGCAGCAGGGGAGAAUAGUGCACAAUGGGGGAAACUCUGAUGCAGCAACGCCGCGUGCGGGAUGACGGCCUUCGGGUUGUAAACCGCUUCACAACGAAGAGCGGUAGUUGCAGAAGAAGCACCGGCUAACUACGUGCCAGCAGCCGCGGUAAUAC